UACGAAGGGGGCUAGCGUUGCUCGGAAUCACUGGGCGUAAAGGGUGCGUAGGCGGGUCUUUAAGUCAGGGGUGAAAUCCUGGAGCUCAACUCCAGAACUGCCUUUGAUACUGAGGAUCUUGAGUUCGGGAGAGGUGAGUGGAACUGCGAGUGUAGAGGUGAAAUUCGUAGAUAUUCGCAAGAACACCAGUGCCGAAGGCGGCUCACUGGCCCGAUACUGACGCUGAGGCACGAAAGCGUGGGGAGCAAACAGG
rnacentral:rRNA from 1 species